GGAGAGGACGUGGCCCAGGAGGAUGUAGCCCAGGACGAGGAGGAGGAAAAGGGGUCAUCUCUAACACUUUAAGGCCAGUCUUUUAGAAGUGGCUCAGAUGGAGGUUUUUGGCAACAGCAGAGGCUGGGUACAAAUUUGGCCAGCCAGGGCCCACUACUGGAGGAGGAGGAGGAUGGGGAUGAAGCAUGUUCACAGCGGGGUGGCACCCAACGCAGCUCAAGCCCAUCACUGGUGCGUGG